rnacentral:lncRNA from 1 species
CAGGCGCCAGUAGGGAGAGCGUCCAGGUAGAUAACCCUUCGGGCUUCCCCGUCGGUAGGCCUGGAAGCGGGUCCCUGUGGCCCGAGGGCUCGGCGGGCAGGAGAGCGGAGGGCCGCCCGUUCCUUCUCCCUUUCCCCGGCAUUUACGUGGCGGCAAGAAGGUCUGCUUGGUCAGGUGAGAUUGAGUGCGCUGCCGACAGGGGCUGGGCUCCCCGGAAUGUAUCCCUAGAGAAGUAACAUUUUUCCGUGGAAGAAGUGUGUCGCUCCCAGGGACUGAGGGAAGAGUAGGUGUCCGUCCUGGUCGGUGUUGGGCUCAAGUCCGCUACUUUUUCUGACACACCUUUCAGAAGAUUUUCCAAGAAACGCAUUGCCAGUGACUGGCCGAGAAACUGUUCCGCCCUGGUGUCAGGCAGAGUGGAAGGAGAGGAGGAGAAGGGAAGUCGGGGACGUCGGUCAUGUCUAGGCGCUGGUGUUCUGGGGUGUCAGGCAGAGUGGAAGGAGAGGAGGAGAAGGGAAGUCGGGGACGUCGGUCAUGUCUAGGCGCUGGUGUUCUGGGUGAGUGAGUGCCCUUUGUUCUCUUCCUUCUCCUCUUCCAAAGGGUUCAUUUCAUCACAGGGAAAAGGUCAGUGGUUCUGGUGGUUCAGCAAGCCUCAAGAAGGGGAGACUCC